UACGGGGGGGGGCAAGCGUUGUUCGGAAUUACUGGGCGUAAAGGGCUCGUAGGCGGCCAACUAAGUCAGACGUGAAAUCCCUCGGCUUAACCGGGGAACUGCGUCUGAUACUGGAUGGCUUGAGGUUGGGAGAGGGAUGCGGAAUUCCUGGUGUAGCGGUGAAAUGCGCAGAUAUCAGGAGGAACACCGGUGGCGAAGGCGGGUCUCUGGGCCGAUACUGACGCUGAGGAGCGAAAAGCGUGGGGAGCGAACAGG
rnacentral:rRNA from 1 species